UACGGGGGGGGCAAGCGUUGUUCGGAAUUACUGGGCGUAAAGGGCUCGUAGGCGGCCAACUAAGUCGGACGUGAAAUCCCCAGGCUCAACCUGGGAACUGCGUCCGAUACUGAUUGGCUUGAAUCCGGGAGAGGGAUGCAGAAUUCCAGGUGUAGCGGUGAAAUGCGUAGAUAUCUGGAGGAAUACCGGUGGCGAAGGCGGCAUCCUGGACCGGCAUUGACGCUGAGUGAGCGAAAGCCAGGGGAGCAAACGGG
rnacentral:rRNA from 1 species